AUUGAACGCUAGCGGGAUGCUUUACACAUGCAAGUCGAACGAGUGGCGGACGGGUGAGUAAUAUCUCGGAACGUGCCCAGUAGCGGGGGAUAACUACUCGAAACGGUGGCUAAUACCGCAUACCAUCGGAGCGGCCGAUAUGGGAUUAGCUAGUUGGUGGGGUAACGGCUCACCAAGGCGACGAUCCGUAGCUGGUCUGAGAGGAUGACCAGCCACACUGGAACGGAGACACGGCCCAGACUCCUACGGGAGGCAGCAGUGGGGAAUUUUGGACAAUGGGGGAAACCCUGAUCCAGCCAUCCCGCGUGUAUGAGAAGGCCUUCGGGUUGUAAAGUACUUUUGGCAGAGAAGCGGUAUCUGCAGAAGAAGCACCGGCUAACUACGUGCCAGCAGCCGCGGUAAUAC
rnacentral:rRNA from 1 species